rnacentral:rRNA from 1 species
UACGUAGGGCGCAAGCGUUGUCCGGAAUUAUUGGGCGUAAAGAGCUCGUAGGCGGUUUGUCGCGUCUGUCGUGAAAGCUUGGGGCUUAACCCCAAGUCUGCGGUGGAUACGGGCAGACUAGAGGCAGGUAGGGGAGAACGGAAUUCCUGGUGUAGCGGUGGAAUGCGCAGAUAUCAGGAGGAACACCAAUAGCGAAGGCAGCUCGCUGGGACGGUACUGACGCUAAGGCGCGAAAGCGUGGGGAGCGAACAGG